AAAGCGGUGGCAGCAGAUGAACUUAUAGUCACAUCAGUAAACUUCAAAACACAAUAAAACUUAAUGUCCCAUGUUAUCACUAAUGUCAUGAUUGGUGAGAUUUGGCAAAUGGCUAACAUACAUAUAUACAUGUACAUGUAUAUAUAAAACAUAAAUACAGAAUGCCUGUGUUGUCAUAACUUGUAGUUUACUUCAUCUCCACAAGGUGGCAGCAGUUAGCAAGAGAUGUCAAACUAGAAUGAGUAGAAGGAACAUUUUUAUAUUUAAUCAUAGUACAUUGGAGCACUGUUGCCUUGCAGCAAAAAGGUUCUGGGUUCAAUUCCCGACCCGGGUUCUUUCUGCAUGUUGUCCCUGUGCAUGGUGGGUUCUGUCCGGUUUCCUCCCACAGUCCAAAAACAUGACUGUCAGGUAAACUGGUCUCUCUAGAUUCUCCCUAUGUGUGAGUGUGUGUGUGCAUGGUUGUUUGUCCUGUCCGUCUCUGUGUUGCCCUCCGAUGGACCAGCGACCUGUCCAGGGUGACCUCACCUCUCGCCCGUUGGCAGCUGGAGAUGGGCACCAGCACCUCUCCUGACCCCAAUGGGAUAAGGGUGUUCAGAAAAUGGAUGGAUGGAUAGCACAUUGGUUCCAGUGUUGCAAAAAGGAUAAGAUUAUAACUAUUGUACAACUAUAUAAGGAUUACAUUAAAGUGGGAAAAGCAAAGCAAAGUCUCAAUCCUAAAAAAACAAAAGCAAUGUUCAGGGAUCAUUACAUAAAGCCUUUAUGGACUCAUUCAGAUGCAUAAUACCAGGUGUUUAUUUUAAAAGCCCUGGUUGAAAACCAACAAGAAGUAACCCAGAUGGUCAUCAGCUGGUUUUUGGUGCAACAAGGAGGAUUAUCAACAUUGCUUUAAGGCUUUGUGAUCUGAAAACGUCUAACCUGCUCCUUCUUGAUUCUUCCAGGCGGGUGUUUGAAAUGCAAACUUCUUGUUCAGAGACGACCUGAAGGGGGAAGGACUGGGAGAAAGUGUUCACAGGAAGCUAGAGAAGCCCUGCAGAGUUGGGAUUGCUCCCCCACUGGUUGGUGGCACCAGGACAAUGGGUGGGUAAAGUUUUGCCAUUACCUGAAUUUCCCCCUUUGUGGGACAAUAAAAGCUUCUGACUUGUUCCGUCUUCAUGUUUCCACGAUGGCGUGAAGCAAAACACAAACGUACGUAACGAUGUGCGUUAUGGAUAUUUUCUAGAGUGAAAUGAGAAAAACAAUUUCAGGAUUCUUAUUUUUGUAUAGAUGUGAGUCCUUCAUAAGCAUCAAUAAUUUUUGUUUCAUAGUCAAAGCAGAAUAAAGAAUUUAACUCAAUUAUGCUGGAGAGUUAAUAUAUGAAGUUUGCAAUUUGCUAAGUGCUAAUCAGUAUGUUCUAGGCGAGUGAAAUGAUUUGUGUUCCUUGACCAGAAAGUAACCUGGGCUGCAGUGGUGAGAGCGAAGCAGCAGACCAUCAGGGAGGUCACCUGUGAGACCAGAGUGACCGUCUAAACCUCACGGUAGAAAAUGUUUUGCUCAAGCUGCAACCGUCACCGUCAGACAUAUCAACGUCCUCCAGCUGCAAUUUAUCAUUUGUAUAAGAUUCUUAUCUACCAUAUUGUCACCUUCAUAAAAUAAGUCAUUUUCUUUGCCAAGGUCAGGUAACAACAUUCAAAGUGCAAUGUAAAAUAUGCAAAUGUUAAAGGUCACUGCAAAACUCGCUGCUGCAUAGAUUCAAAUCUGCAGCACAUAAAUAAAUCAUCCUGCCUGAAAACUCCCCUGAUCUCAGUUUGGUAGGACUUGUGCUGAAGUUCUCUGAAAUGGAAGCGUGCAAAUUCACACACAGGUAAAAAAAUAUU